rnacentral:tRNA from 2 species
CGGGGUGGAGCAGCCCGGUAGCUCGUCAGGCUCAUAACCUGAAGGUCGUAGGUUCAAAUCCUGCCCCCGCAACCA